CCAUUUUCCGGGGACUUCGGGACUCUAUCCGUCCGGCUCACAUUGUCCCUGCACACACCCAGGGCCCACAGCGCAUCCCCUGUGAGGUUCAUGCCCACCUCCCAGUAGUGCCGCCCUGAGGAGAAGGUCUGGCAGCCCACUGCACAGGGGUAGGCCAGGAACCUGUCCUUGCUGCAGGGUGUGCCGUCCGGUGGCGUGCUGAGGUAGUGCCGCUGGUGGCUCUCGUACAGGAGGAGGUAGGGGUACGCUGUGGCAGGGUCGGGUACCACGUUCUCUGCAGACAGGCCCAGCAACAGGGAUGGGGCUGAGUCAUCCCUGUCCUCCCUGAUCACCACCCUCCCAGGCCUCCCCUUGGCUGAGUCCAGCUGGGAGCCUGGGUCUCUGCAUGGGCCGUACCCCAGCUGCCGAUGUUGAUGGUGCCAAGGAGAUGAGCUGGGGACCAUUUGGGCAUCUGGGAGUGGCGGGUAAGGGUAGGGUGUGAAUUCCCAGUGAACAUCAAGGCUCCCAGGGGUGGCUCUGGUCGAGAGACUGGCCCCACUUACCUUGGAAACUCUUGAGCACCUCUAUCUGCCCCGGGACUCUGCAGACAGUCCUCAGUGAGAGGGGGGUGGCCUCUGGGUACUGCACACUCAAGCUGUUCUUCCUCCAGAGGGAACAGAUGUUACUGACCCCUCUGGGCCCAUGUGAAGCCCUCCCUGCCUGCACCUCAGGCGGUCAUAUACCUGUCCAGAGGCUCCUUCAUGUCCUGCGAAAACACGGAGAGAGGGAGGGCUGCUACAUCUUGUUAGGGAUCUGGGGCGUCCCCAAGCCCCCUGUGUGGACAUUUCUGGCCUGCAGAGCAAGGAGAAUUCAUAAUGCUUUCCCGUGACCCUCUUUCCAGUUUUCAGAAUGGAUCUCUAUCUCUUGGCCACCAGGGUCUCCUGCUGUCCCCCUGCAUCAGAUCAGGACAGCUGCACAGUGGACAACCAUGUGCAGACACAGGGAGGAGAUGGCAUCCACACACCAAGGAGAGAGGCCUCAGGAGAACCAGUCUUCCAGCCUCCAGACUGAGAAAUAAAUGUUUAAGCCCUCAGCCGGUGGUAUUUGUUACACAGCCUGAGCUGAUGAAGACAGAGCCUUCCCUGUUGGUCUGUAUUUGCCCUGGCAGGUCCACCACACCUGGGCCAGAACUUGUGUCCACCCCGCCCAGCCAGGUGAGCAGGUGAGCCUCACCUGUAGCAUCUGCAGUGGCUCCCGAAUGCUACAGUCCUCCAGCCGCAGCAACAGGGUCUCCAGGGAGCUGCUCUGCUGCUCUAGUGCGACCAUACUCUCCUGCAGCCUGGCAGCGGUGUCCUGCUCCUCCUGCCGCAGGGCCUCCAGGAGGCGCUGUUCCUCCUCCACUAGGAGGGCAGCCAUCUUCUUGAACUCCGUCACAAUGCGCUGUCUCUGCUUCCUCACCUUCUCCUGCAGGGUGGGACCUGGAAGUGAGGCACUGCCAGGGGACUACCAUCCUGUGCCCACCAACUUGGAGGGGCCACACAUCACAUGGCCACAGUGACCCACAGAAAACCAGCACAGCUGGUGGGGGGAGGGGCCACGCAGAGCCCCCAUCACUGUGGGGUGACCCCAUGAGCCCAAAUGGCCAUCAAGGCCUCUGUGUACCCCUCAGUCCCUGCUUCAAAGUGGCCAAUCUGGGCUGAGUGCACGUUCUCAGUCCUGACUCUGGUGGGAAUUCUGUGCCUCUCCUGGGUCUUGUGCUGUCAUCCACCUUGAGGGUCCACAGGUUCUAGAAGCCCUGCAGUACCCUGGGGCCUGGCCAGGCCUUCCCGCCCGUUCCUCAAGGUCUCAGCACCUGCCUGCCACUCGGCCAAGGCCUGCUGCUCCCUGGUCUGCAGCUUCUCGGUCUUCGCCAUUUCCUCCCGCAGGUGCCCCAUGUCACCCUCCAGCUUCAGCUGCAGACAACAGACCGCGGGAUAGGAGUUGGAGGCCCCCUGCACACCCACUUCAGGAGGUGCCCUCUGAAGCUGCAUCAAAGGGAAUGGAAAUGCACCCCAGAGAUGCCCCUUGGGCGUGAGGAUUAUUUUGAGCUGGAGGCAGAAAGACACCUUCCGAGGCUCCUGUUAUGUGACUAAAAGCAGAAACUGCUGAGGAAUGAGGGUUGCCACAGGUCCGCCUCCCGGGGGAAGUUUUAUGGCUCUGAAGGAGGUGGAACGUGGGAUACCACUGAUGAACUUUAUCGUUUGUUGGUUUCCCCAAAAUACUUUCUGUUAUGAUCCGAAUGUUCAUGUCCCCCAAAAUUCACAUGUUAAGUCCUAACCCCCAAGGAGAUGGGGCCUUUGGGAGGUGAUGAGGUCAGAAAGGUGGAGCCCUCGGGAAUGGGGCUAGUGGGGAAGAAGGGACUGAGAGCUCCCAGCCCCCUCUUCCAUGUGAGGACAGUGGGAAGUUGGCUGUCUGUGAACUGGGAAGGAGCCCCCCCCUCCCCCGCCCCGACUGUGCUGGUGCCCUGAUCCUGGACUUCCAGCCUCCAGAGCCAUGAGCAUGAAGUCUUGCUGUUUGUAAGCCGCCCAGUCUUGUGUUCUGUGACAACAGCUGGAAUGGACCAAGAUACUUUCCCAGUUGCUGCCCUUGGGAGCCUGUCACCUUUCCCUUUGUCUCUUCUCUCCAAAUGUACUGUUCCUUGUUCAGAUGCUAAACUAAACCACCUAGCCAGCCACACACAUUGCUGUGCUUUCUUCCCUGUGACGUGUGCGGGCCACAUGUGUUAACAGUUCGCUGUUCUCUCCUUGAUUUGUCUUUUCUCAGUCUGAUUUAGGGUGGAAGAAAAAGGCCCUUUCCUCCCCUACAAAGGGUCACCUGGCCUGCCCACACAGUGGCUUGGAGGCUACUUUUGUCAGCCUGGGCUCCUGAAUAACUGUGGAGGGGAUGCUCAGCUGGCCCUGCCACCUACCUGCUUUAUUGUGGGAGUUACAGACACUUCCACUGUGGGGUCCAGCAUUUGGGGCUCUUUGUUACAGUGGUUGUUCUCCUAUCUGACUGAUACACCCCUGGACACACAGACAUGCACUCAGACCUCCUUGACCCGUUGCCCUUCACCCCUGGGCCCACCUUGUGCUCCUUCACAGCCUCCUCCACCGGGACCACUCUGUGAGGCCGGUGUUCCUGGGACUCCCUGCAGACCACGCAGAUGGGGCUCUGGUCAUCUUCGCAAAAGAGUUUGAGCACCUCCUGGUGCACCUGGCACAGAUCCCUGCUCUGGAUGCCCGGGUGCUGUCGUGCCAUCUCAGCCACCUUGGUCAGCAGGCGGUUGGGCCGCAGGGUCCUCUGGGGGGACAGCUCGCGGCACUCGGGGCAGGGGAAGACACCCCUGCGUUUCCUCCUGCCCUUCUUGCCUUUGGCCUUCUCCCAAGUCAGCCGGAUGCACUCGCGGCAGAAGUUGUGGCCACAGGAGGUCAUCACAGGGUCGGUGAAAUAGUCAAGGCAGAUGGAGCAUGUUGCCUCCUCCUGCAGCUUUCUGGAAAGUUCCACAGCAUCCAUGGCUCCUGGGAAAGAAACAGAGUAUCCGGCCACACCCUCUGCCCAGAACCCCAGGCACUUGGGGUGUCCUCUUGCGGACAGCACUGUACAUGGUCCUGUUAGGGCACCUGGCUUGUCUUCAGUAAGAGGCAUAGGUGCCUCUCUGGAAGCUGACAAAGACUCUCCACAACCGAAUUCAGCCAGGUUCCCCUACGCUGCCACCUGUAUGCCCAGCCACGCCCAGUUUUAUUCCAUUUAGAGCCCAUCCCACCCCUCCUAUGAUGACUGUGCAGGAAUCCUGCUAGUCAGUUUAGCAACAAGAUCCCUCCCCAUUUCUCUUCAUUGUGCUUUUCCAUCACUAACCCCUCGCCGUGCCCUGGGCCAUCCUCCCAUUGUGUGGGCUACAGUAGGAGAUGACCCCGCCUUCCUCCCUAUUGCAGUAGUCUUGAAUAAAGUCUUCCUUACCGGUGUAA